rnacentral:rRNA from 1 species
GACGAACGCUGGCGGCGUGCUUAACACAUGCAAGUCGAACGGAAAGGCCCUGCUUUUGUGGGGUGCUCGAGUGGCGAACGGGUGAGUAACACGUGAGUAACCUGCCCUUGACUUUGGGAUAACUUCAGGAAACUGGGGCUAAUACCGGAUAGGAGCUCCUGCUGCAUGGUGGGGGUUGGAAAGUUUCGGCGGUUGGGGAUGGACUCGCGGCUUAUCAGCUUGUUGGUGGGGUAGUGGCUUACCAAGGCUUUGACGGGUAGCCGGCCUGAGAGGGUGACCGGCCACAUUGGGCCUGAGAUACGGCCCAGAAUCCUACGGGAGGCAGCAGUGGGGAAUAUUACACAAUGGGGGGAAGCCUGAUGCAGAAACGCCGCGUGCGGGAUGACGGCCCUCGGGUUGUAAACCGCUUUCGCCUGUGACGAAGAGUGAGUGACGGUAAUGGGUAAAGAAGCACCGGCUAACUACGUG